AGCGAACGCUGGCGGCAGGCUUAACACAUGCAAGUCGAGCGGGCGUAGCAAUACGUCAGCGGCAGACGGGUGAGUAACGCGUGGGAACGUACCUUUUGGUUCGGAACAACACAGGGGAAACUUGUGCUAAUACCGGAUAAGCCCUUACGGGGAAAGAUUUAUCGCCGAAAGAUCGGCCCGCGUCUGAUUAGCUAGUUGGUGUGGUAACGGCGCACCAAGGCGACGAUCAGUAGCNGGUCUGAGAGGAUGAUCAGCCACAUUGGGACUGAGACACGG
rnacentral:rRNA from 1 species